CACGCCGUAAACGAUGAAUACUAGGUGUCGGGGCCGUAUAGGCUUCGGUGCCGCCGCUAACGCAGUAAGUAUUCCACCUGGGGAGUACGUUCGCAAGAAUGAAACUCAAAGGAAUUGACG
rnacentral:rRNA from 1 species